rnacentral:lncRNA from 1 species
UUGUUUUCUUUUAUUUAUUUAUUUAGACGGAGUCUCACUCUGUCGCCCAGGCUGGAGUUGCAGUGAGCCGAGAUUGCAUUAUUGUACUCCAGUCUGGGUAAGAAGAGCUAAACUCCAGAGUCUGUCUCAGAAAAAGGAAAACAGCUGAAAUAUAGGAGACUGACGCCCAGCCCAGGAACAGGUAAGCUGGGUGCACGCGCCGUGAAAACAGCACCUAGGCCUGCUCCGGUUCUCGCUUUGCAGAUGCCUCCUGAACCUCAGUGCCUCCUAAGGUCAAGGCUGUGAGUUAAAGGGCUCCACCCCAGCCCAGCCCCAGGUUGGCCCAGCCAUUCCCUGGUGGAGGGGCCAGGGAGGAAAGGGGGCUGUGUGGGCACCAGAGGGUGAACUGAGGUCUGAGGGUCGGGACACAGGCCGGGAACAGCAGCUGGGAGCGGAGCACGGGGGAAACGUGGAUGCGCUGAGCUCCCUACAACCGCAGUGAGCAUGUGCCCAGGAGGGCCUCACGGGGUGGGUGUGAGUCUGGCCUGCCUGGGCUCGGGGUGGGGGGUGUUUACAGACGCAUUUCAGCCCCGCAGCAGGGGCUGGGGAGGUCCCGCUCGUGACAGUCUCUGCACCAAGGCAGGAGAGAUGGAAGCCGCCCAGAGAACUGCCACUCCAUAGCCUGUGGGCAUCCAGGGGUGAGCGGCAGCGAUGGCGCCCCAUGGAGGAAACACACUGGAAAUCGUGCAGAAGAUGGGAAGAUGCAGGCUGGAGUGCGGAGAAGGACUGAGACCCUGCCUGGUAGACGGCACCGUCACAGCAGCCGUCUGCCUGCUAGGAGGAGCGUCUCCACCAGCAGCAGGCCGGCCCCUGAGGGAGACAGCAGAGAGCUGGAGUCCUGGCCAGCCAGGCGGGGAUCCUUCAGCAGGACACAGGGGACACAGCAGGCAACAGGAGCUCAGAACGCUCUCGGCGACCCUGCUGAGUAACUUGUGGACUUUGUCGUCUGGCCAGUCAUGCAGGAUCCGGCACAGGACGUACAGCUCAGCGCUGGGGAGGGGGUCCCUGAAAAAGUCACCUGGUUUAAAGACAAAACGAGAUACGUCCGUCAGGUAUGGAAGAAGCAGUCCUCCCCGGACAGAUCCUGGGACGGCCACCCGCAUCCUAAAUCAGGGACAGAGAAGAGAGGGGUGUGGGCGGGAAUGGGUCUUCCUGAAGUACAUCCCCGUGGGGACUUGAACAGAGCUCCAUGAGGAGCUGGUUAGUGAUGUCACGCCCGUGCGGUUUGACUCGGGCUGAGAAAACGCUGGGGACAGUGGCUCACACCUGUAAUCUCAGCAUUUUGGGAGCCUGAGGUGGGCAGAUUGUCUGAGCUCAGGAGUUCGAGACCAGCCUGGGCAACACGGCGAAACCCCAUCUCUACUAAAAAUGCAAAUUAGCUGGACAGGGGUGGCGGGCGCCUGUCAUCCCAGCUACGCGGGAGGCUGAGGCAGGAGAAUCGCUUGAACCUGGGAGGUGGAGGUUGCAGUGAGCCGAGAUCGCGCCAUCGCACUCCAGCCUGGGCGACAAGAAGGCAAGGGAGGAAAAAAGCAGGGAAUUCAGGGGCAGCACCUGGGCGAGGCAGGCAGAGUCGGCGCACAUGGGCGUGUGCCAGGGAGAGUCGGGGCCGCACUGCCGGUGAGUGGGCAAUGGCAGGGCCUUCUCUGGUGAUCCCCUGAUUCAGGCGCCCCAGGAGGGUUGCCUGUUGCGGGGGGCGCAUGUAGCUGCACGCCCCUCUGUAAUUGCUGAAAUAAAAAGAUGGUCUGCUGUA